UGGAGGAAACUCUGAUGCAGCGAUGCCGCGUGAGGGAAGAAGGUUUUAGGAUUGUAAACCUCUGUCUUUGGGGACGAAAAAUGACGGUACCCAAGGAGGAAGCUCCGGCUAACUACGUGCCAGCAGCCGCGGUAAUACGUAGGGAGCGAGCGUUGUCCGGAAUUACUGGGUGUAAAGGGAGCGUAGGCGGGAUCGCAAGUCAGAUGUGAAAACUAUGGGCUUAACCCAUAAACUGCAUUUGAAACUGUGGUUCUUGAGUGAAGUAGAGGUAAGCGGAAUUCCUAGUGUAGCGGUGAAAUGCGUAGAUAUUAGGAGG
rnacentral:rRNA from 1 species